rnacentral:rRNA from 1 species
CCGAUAGUGAACCAGUACCGUGAGGGAAAGGCGAAAAGAACCCCGGCGAGGGGAGUGAAAAAGAACCUGAAACCGUGUACGUACAAGCAGUGGGAGCACGCUUAGGCGUGUGACUGCGUACCUUUUGUAUAAUGGGUCAGCGACUUAUAUUCUGUAGCAAGGUUAACCGAAUAGGGGAGCCGAAGGGAAACCGAGUCUUAACUGGGCGUUAAGUUGCAGGGUAUAGACCCGAAACCCGGUGAUCUAGCCAUGGGCAGGUUGAAGGUUGGGUAACACUAACUGGAGGACCGAACCGACUAAUGUUGAAAAAUUAGCGGAUGACUUGUGGCUGGGGGUGAAAGGCCAAUCAAACCGGGAGAUAGCUGGUUCUCCCCGAAAGCUAUUUAGGUAGCGCCUCGUGAAUUCAUCUCCGGGGGUAGAGCACUGUUUCGGCAAGGGGGUCAUCCCGACUUACCAACCCGAUGCAAACUGCGAAUACCGGAGAAUGUUAUCACGGGAGACACACGGCGGGUGCUAACGUCCGUCGUGAAGAGGGAAACAACCCAGACCGCCAGCUAAGGUCCCAAAGUCAUGGUUAAGUGGGAAACGAUGUGGGAAGGCCCAGACAGCCAGGAUGUUGGCUUAGAAGCAGCCAUCAUUUAAAGAAAGCGUAAUAGCUCACUGGUCGAGUCGGCCUGCGCGGAAGAUGUAACGGGGCUAAACCAUGCACCGAAGCUGCGGCAGCGACGCUGAUGCGUUGUUGGGUAGGGGAGCGUUCUGUAAGCCUGUGAAGGUGUGCUGUGAGGCAUGCUGGAGGUAUCAGAAGUGCGAAUGCUGACAUAAGUAACGAUAAAGCGGGUGAAAAGCCCGCUCGCCGGAAGACCAAGGGUUCCUGUCCAACGUUAAUCGGGGCAGGGUGAGUCGACCCCUAAGGCGAGGCCGAAAGGCGUAGUCGAUGGGAAACAGGUUAAUAUUCCUGUACUUGGUGUUACUGCGAAGGGGGGACGGAGAAGGCUAUGUUGGCCGGGCGACGGUUGUCCCGGUUUAAGCGUGUAGGCUGGUUUUCCAGGCAAAUCCGGAAAAUCAAGGCUGAGGCGUGAUGACGAGGCACUACGGUGCUGAAGCAACAAAUGCCCUGCUUCCAGGAAAAGCCUCUAAGCAUCAGGUAACAUCAAAUCGUACCCCAAACCGACACAGGUGGUCAGGUAGAGAAUACCAAGGCGCUUGAGAGAACUCGGGUGAAGGAACUAGGCAAAAUGGUGCCGUAACUUCGGGAGAAGGCACGCUGAUAUGUAGGUGAAGUCCCUCGCGGAUGGAGCUGAAAUCAGUCGAAGAUACCAGCUGGCUGCAACUGUUUAUUAAAAACACAGCACUGUGCAAACACGAAAGUGGACGUAUACGGUGUGACGCCUGCCCGGUGCCGGAAGGUUAAUUGAUGGGGUCAGCGCAAGCGAAGCUCUUGAUCGAAGCCCCGGUAAACGGCGGCCGUAACUAUAACGGUCCUAAGGUAGCGAAAUUCCUUGUCGGGUAAGUUCCGACCUGCACGAAUGGCGUAAUGAUGGCCAGGCUGUCUCCACCCGAGACUCAGUGAAAUUGAACUCGCUGUGAAGAUGCAGUGUACCCGCGGCAAGACGGAAAGACCCCGUGAACCUUUACUAUAGCUUGACACUGAACAUUGAGCCUUGAUGUGUAGGAUAGGUGGGAGGCUUUGAAGUGUGGACGCCAGUCUGCAUGGAGCCGGCCUUGAAAUACCACCCUUUAAUGUUUGAUGUUCUAACGUUGACCCGUUAUCCGGGUUGCGGACAGUGUCUGGUGGGUAGUUUGACUGGGGCGGUCUCCUCCUAAAGAGUAACGGAGGAGCACGAAGGUUGGCUAAUCCUGGUCGGACAUCAGGAGGUUAGUGCAAUGGCAUAAGCCAGCUUGACUGCGAGCGUGACGGCGCGAGCAGGUGCGAAAGCAGGUCAUAGUGAUCCGGUGGUUCUGAAUGGAAGGGCCAUCGCUCAACGGAUAAAAGGUACUCCGGGGAUAACA